ensembl:misc_RNA Gm55855 predicted gene, 27568
UGGGUAGACUGCUCCCCGGCCUUCAGAAUGAGAUCCUUUGUGGGGCACUCAGUCCAUUAAUUAGAAAAUUGCCUUCAUCUUCGAUGCUGGUGCUUCGGC